rnacentral:lncRNA from 15 species
UUGCAUUUUUGGACAUCAUUCACUAAUACCUUGAACCUCACAAAAUUUCAGAUCAUAAUAAUGUCUAAUUAUGUCACUAUGACGAUGACGUAAACAAGAAAAUACCUAGCAAAAGGAUUUUCUGUUUUCACGAAGUGACGGCCAAGUACGCGCUUAACAGCCGUCAAUUCGUGAAAACAUCGUUUGCUCUUUUCCUGCUUUUAAUGUUUUCACGAAGUGACGGUAGUGAAAAUUUCGCAGUUUGGAACAGUCGCAGACCAUGAAAAGUUUCAGAUGCAGUAGAUACAAUUUUCACUUGUAUGAAGGAAGCACUGGGAAAGUACAUCUACUUUUCAAGAAUGCCACAGGCCAGAAAAAAAUCCAGAUUGGAUACGGGGACCGACAUGCUGGUAAGAUGGGUCCUUGAUAAUUCACUGAACACAGAGCUGCAGAAUGUGACUUGGCAUAGUGACCUAAGAGUGGGAGCGGUAUGGAACCGUUGAAGCAAUUCACCAAACACGUACAGUCAGAGCUGCAUGUGUGACUUGGCAUGGUGACCCUUAAAGUCUCCUGAUGGCUCCGAUUGCGAUUCUGAUGAUGACCCAUUGUCUAUGCUUCUGAGCGAGUCAAAAGUCUAGAUAAAGGAUCUUCGCUGCUUCAACCACUAUUGCUUGGGUGACAUACAUGUGAAGAAAUUUGAAGAACUGUUGUUGAAGAGCAUGCUUGAGAAACUAGAAUCAAUUACAUGAUCGUUUUGACAAUGCUUCAAUGUUUCAAUACCUCAAUCUCUCUUUUAUACUGUUUUAUUUUAAACAUUUUAAAUAUCAUAAACAAAGCAAACUCCACUCAUAAUUGUAAUUGUGUGUUGUAAUCGCAAUGAAAUGGAUUGAUUAUAAAAAUCAAUGAAUUGAUUUAAAGCAAACUGGUAACAUUGUCCAUGAUUUCUGAAACAAUGAACUGAAUAGUUGUACAGGUGUCAGUUUUCUGUUACAGAAUUGCAAUGAACUCCUGCACACAUAAAUCUUUAUUAUUCAAAUGUAUAGCUCAGAACAGCUAUUUAUCAGGUAUACCUACCUCAAUCAGUAAUGCAUAUUAGAGUUUUCGGUUCCAUGAAUCCUCAUAUCGUAUCUUUGUAUUGAAGAAUUUGUUUAUCUAUUUUCUUUAAAUUUUUGUAUUCACAGGGGUUGAUGCCUUCAUUAGAACAUGAAUAUAAGUUACAUUUCCACAAUUGAUUUUUCUUUCAAAACACAAUGUUACUAGUUCACAUUUAAUGUUUUUAUUUUUUACUUCUAUAGUCAUUCUCACCAUAAUUGUAUUUGGUACUUCAAACUAUCUUAUAAUCAUACAAUAUAAUGUUGCUG